CCCAGACAGCCAGGAUGUUGGCUUAGAAGCAGCCAUCAUUUAAAGAAAGCGUAAUAGCUCACUGGUCGAGUCGGCCUGCGCGGAAGAUGUAACGGGGCUAAACCAUGCACCGAAGCUGCGGCAGCGACGCUGAUGCGUUGUUGGGUAGGGGAGCGUUCUGUAAGCCUGUGAAGGUGUGUCGUGAGGCAUGCUGGAGGUAUCAGAAGUGCGAAUGCUGACAUAAGUAACGAUAAAGCGGGUGAAAAGCCCGCUCGCCGGAAGACCAAGGGUUCCUGUCCAACGUUAAUCGGGGCAGGGUGAGUCGACCCCUAAGGCGAGGCCGAAAGGCGUAGUCGAUGGGAAACGGGUUAAUAUUCCCGUACUUGGUGUUACUGCGAAGGGGGGACGGAGAAGGCUAUGUUGGCCGGGCGACGGUUGUCCCGGUUUAAGCGUGUAGGUGUGUGUUCCAGGUAAAUCCGGUUCACUUUAACACUGAGGCGUGACGACGAGGCACUACGGUGCUGAAGCAACAAAUGCCCUGCUUCCAGGAAAAGCCUCUAAGCAUCAGGUAACACGAAAUCGUACCCCAAACCGACACAGGUGGUCAGGUAGAGAAUACCAAGGCGCUUGAGAGAACUCGGGUGAAGGAACUAGGCAAAAUGGUGCCGUAACUUCGGGAGAAGGCACGCUGACACGUAGGUGAAGUGAUUUACUCA
rnacentral:rRNA from 1 species